rnacentral:rRNA from 1 species
GAUGAACGCUAGCUACAGGCUUAACACAUGCAAGUCGAGGGGAAACGAUGAGAGAGCUUGCUCUCUUAGGCGUCGACCGGCGCACGGGUGAGUAACGCGUAUCCAACCUACCCAUUACAGGGGGAUAACCUUGCGAAAGUAAGACUAAUACCCCAUGGCAUUUUAUGGUGGCAUCAUUAUAGGAUUAAAGAUUUAUUGGUAAUGGAUGGGGAUGCGUCUGAUUAGCUUGUUGGCGGGGUAACGGCCCACCAAGGCAACGAUCAGUAGGGGUUCUGAGAGGAAGGUCCCCCACAUUGGAACUGAGACACGGUCCAAACUCCUACGGGAGGCAGCAGUGAGGAAUAUUGGUCAAUGGGCGAGAGCUUGAACCAGCCAAGUAGUGUGCAGGAUGACGGCCCUAUGGGUUGUAAACUGCUUUUAUAGGGGAAGAAAGUGAGCUACGUGUAGUUUAUUGCAUGUACCCUAUGAAUAAGGACCGGCUAAUUCCGUG